AUCUAAUUGAAAAAAUAUAGUUUAAAAGAUUAAUGCAGGGAAAAUUAGAAUUUUCAGGAAAGUUAGCAAAAAGGAUUAUGAACACUAUGUCACCAUUUGAUUUUUUUUUUUUGGAUAUAAUAAAUUUUGGCUUUUCUUACCAUUGUUGUCAUUUUAAAACUAACUCUUCUUCCAGUAAAACCUUAUUAUGUUACAUUCGUGUUCUUGUACUAUUGAACUCCAGCAGAUCUGAGUAGUCUUAAGUCCUUGAAUUUAGCCCAUCUGUGGUGAUGAUGGCACCAAGGCUCUGUAUCUGGUCUUGGAGACAGACAGAGAAAGCUGGCAGGGUGACAUCUGAGGUCCUCCAUGCCCAGGAGUUUCCCAGGAUUUCCAAUUUGAUGCUCAAAAUACCUUUGACAAAAGCCAUGAUCUUUCACUGUAUAAGUAGAGAUGUAGCAAUGGAUGCAUCAUUAGUGAUUAGAUGGUUUAGAUUCCAACUUAGGUAUAACAGACGGUCAUGGUUGGCAUUUCAGAUCAGGGGCUGAUAAGGAAAGGAAGAGAGAACAUGAGAGCACCAGGUUAAGAGGGCAAACAGAGAGAAUGGGCGUCUCCUAGAGGCAAUGUCCUAUGAGGAGAUAGAUCCCACGCUCUCACAAGGCUUCAUCAAAGAACCCCAAAUCAGGCUUUGUAAAGUAACUGGAAGGAUGACAAGAAGCAAAGGAAAAACCACCCUCAAUUUAAUAAACAGACAAAAGACAUCCCAUUUAGAAAAGAAAAAAAAAAAACAGAGAUGUCCCGUAAACAUGAAAAAUGUUAAUCCUCAUUAAUAAUUUAAGAAUACAAAGUAAGCUACAGUAAUAUACUAUUUUUUUCUAGCAAAUUAGCAUAAAUGCUUCUAAGGUAACACUCAGUUCUGGGUGAGGUGAGACACCUUUUAUAUAUUGGGGAGUAUAAAUUGUUAUAGUCUUUCUGGAAAAUAGUUUGGAAAUACAUCAAAUACAUUAAUACCUUUUCACCUUUUUUUAUCUUGUCAUAUGAUUAAACACAAAAAAUAUGUAUUUGUUAAUAUUUGUCACAUUAUACCUAACCAAAAUUUGGAAACAACCUUAAAUUCUAAUGAAGGAAAAGGUAAAGUAAAUUGUGGAACGUCUGUAUUAAGAAAUUAUACUCUCAAAGACAAUGAUAAAGGAAGAGUUUCAUAAUAUAGUAUUAAAUGAAAACAGCUGAAUAUUUAAAAGUAUAAAAUAUAAACUGAAUUUGAAUCUUGCAGGAAAAAGGCUGCUAAGAUAAACACUAGAAUGGUAACAUAGCUUUUCUUUGGGUAAUGGGAGUAUAGUUCAUUUUUUAUUUCAUCUUCAAUUUAUUUGUUUGUAUUUUUCAAAUUAUCUGGUGGCAUGUCCUAGAGUGGAAAACAACCACGACGACAGUGUUAGAAUGAAAUCAUCUCACCAGCUUGUUUUUGUUCUCCUGAUUUUUACCACUGUACCAAAUAUCUACAUAUGCACGCAUCUCACACACUCACCAGCAAGUGGAUGGGAAAAGAAUAAUAGGAACACCAUGGAGGGAAGGCGUGAACCGCUGGAGAAUCAAGGUCUUUGAGGAAGAGCAGUGAGAUUUCCACCCUCUGAGGAGCCCAGCACAGCAGCUUGCAUCACCACAUAGUCAACCCACUACAGUGAAAUAAAGUUAACUUUGCACCAUCUUCUCUGUGAGGCCUUCAGGGAAAUGUUAUUCAGAUAGAACCACCCUGUGAACAUAGUCCUCAUGUAGAAGUUGCCUUUUGUGGAAAGUUUUUAUAAUCGGCAUCUUUGACACCCUUGUCAAAGAUUAUAUACUAGCAUAUAGAUGAUACAGGAUUAAUCAGGCAGCAAGAGGAAAAGUCCAAGCUUUUCUUUGGAGUUGGAAGGAAGAGUAGAGAGAAGGCAGAUGGGACUGUACGUCAUCUCUGCAUCUAUUUCUGGCAAAGUAUGACACUUAAAUUUUUCUAUAUCAAAUACAUCUGGUUAGUUUUUAAAAUAGUCUAUUUGAGCUAAGUAAGGAAAAGAUGUUCUGAAAUAUCCUCACAGUCCACCAGUAGCUACUAGCCACAUGUGAUUGUGGAGGAUUGGAUUGUGGCUAGUGAAGCUGAGAAAUUAAAUUUUUAAGUUAAUUUAAUUUUGAUUAAAAGAGCCUCGUGUAAUACUGGCUAUUACAUUUAGAAAUCAGGACUAGAUUAUGGUUUUCCUCUGUGCCUCAUUUCUCCUCCUGUCAAAGCAUGCUUAUUAUCUUUAAUUCUUUGGCUGAAAAGUGUAAAAUAAGUUAACUUGAUAGGUUGAAUGAAACAUCUCAAAGAUGAUAGUAAUUGAUGUUUUUUAAAAAGAUGUUUCAAAUUAAUCUCCAUAAUUAUGAUAUUUUAAAAACCAUUUUAUUGAGAUAUGAUUAAUGUACAAAAAAUGUGUACAUGUUUAACAUAUACAAGAUGAGUUUGGAGAUAAGUAUACAACCAUAAAAGUAUACAACCAUGAAACCAUCACCUCAAUCAGUACCAUAAACUUAUCCAUCACCUCCCAAAGUUUCCUCCAGCCCUCUUAAAUAAUUAUUUCUGUGUGUGAUAACAGUCACAUAAGAUCAAUCCUCUUAGCAAAUAGUAUUGCUUCUAUAGGCGUUAUGCCGUGCAGUAGCUCUCUAGAAUUUUUCAUCAUGCAUAACUGAAACUGCUCUUUGGCAGAUAUCUCCCCAUAUCUCCCUUCCCUCAGCCCCUGAGAAACCAACAUUCUAUCCUCUGUUUCUAUUAUUUUGAUUAUUUUAAAUUUCUCAUGUAAUUGGUACUAUGUAAUAUUUAGUCUUCUGUGUCUGCUUAUUUCAAAGAGCAUAAUAUACUCUAGGUUUAUCUGUUUAUCUCAAAUGGAAGGAUUUCCUUCUUUUUUUGAGGCUGAAUAAUAUUUCAUUGUAGCAUGUAACUCAUUUUCAUUAUCCAUUCACCUGUCUGGUGGAUAUUAAAGUUGCUUCCAAGUCUUGCCUAUUGAGAAGAAUGCUGCAAAGAAAUGAGAGUGCAGAUAUUUCUUCAAUAUACGAAUUUCAUUUCCUUUGGAUAUAUACCCAUUAGUAAGAUUGCUAGAUCAUAUGGUAGUUCUAUUUUUCAUGUUUUGAGGAUCCUCCAUGCUAUUUCCCAUAGUGGCUGCACCACUUUAUAUAUCCACCAACAGCGGUCAUUUUCUCCACAUUCUCAGCGCUGUCCAAACAGAUGCCAGCUAAUAUCUCAGUGUGGUUUUGAUUUGCAUUUCUCCGAAGAUUAGUGAUAUUAAGCUCCUUUUUAUAUAUCUAUUGGCCAUUUAUAUGUGUUUAUUAGAGACAUAGUGCUUUGCUCAUUGUUCAUAGAGACAUAGUGCUUUGCUCAUUUUUUUAAACUUUAAUUUUUUUUUUUUUUGCUUUGAGUUUUAGGAGUUUCUUAUAUAUUUUAGAUAUUAACUCCUUAUCAGACAAAUAGUUUGUAAACAUUUCCUCCCAUUUUGUAGGUUGCCUUUUUAUUACGUUGAUUAUUUCCCUUGCUGUGCAACAGCUGUUUUACUUGAUAUAAUCUCAUUUUUUCAAAAAGAUUUCUUGCCUGUACUUUUUGCAUUGUAGCGAACAAUCAUUGCUAGGGCCAGUGUUUUCUUCUAGAAGUUUCAUGGUUUGGGGUCUUAAGUUAUUUAAUCCAUUUUUACUUGAUGGUAUUUAGUUGAUGAUUUUGUCGAUCCAUUUGUUUAUGGUGUAAGAAAAGGGUCAAAUUUUAUCCUUUUGUAGGUGUACAUCCACUUUUCCCAGCACUAUUUAUUGAACAAACCAUCCUUUUCUGUUCACACCCUUGUCAAAGAUCAGUUGACUAUAUGUGUGUGGGUUUGUUUCUGAGCUCUCUAUUUUGUACUGUUUGCCUAUUCAUCUGCUUUUAUGGCAGUAACAUUAUGUUUUGAUUAUUUUAGCUUUGUAAUGGAUUUUGAAAUAAGGAAGUGUUAUGCCUCCAGUUUAUUCUUUCGAUCAGAAUUGUUUUAGUUAUUUCAAGUUUUUUGUGGUUCCAGAUUAAUUUUAGGAUUGCUUUUUCUAUUACUGUAGAAAAAAAUGCCACUGAGAUUUUUAUAGAGAUUACAUUAAAUAAAUAGAUCCUUUUGAGUAGUAUGAACAUUUUAACUAUAACAAUUAUUGUAAUUCAUGAACAUGGGAUUUUUUUUAAAUUUAUUUGUUUUCUGCUGUAAUUCCUUCAGUGUUUUAUACUUUUCAGUGUACAAGGUUUUCACUUUCUUGGUUAAAUAUAUUUCUAAGUACUGCAUUCUUUUUGAUGCUAUUAUAAAUGGGAUUAUUUUCUUAAUUUCCUUUCCAUAUAGUUACUUGUUAGUGUACAGAAAUAUGAAUGAUUUUUGUAUGUGGAUAUUUUUUCUGCAAUGUUACUGAAUUUGUUUAUUCUAACAGUUCUUUUUUGUAGACUCUUUAGGGUUUUCGGUAUAUUAAGAUCACGUCAUCUGCAAAUAGAGAUAAUUUUACUUGUUAUUUCCUGAUUUGCAUGGCUUAUGUUUCUUUUCUUUUUCUUUUUUAUUUAUUUUUAUUUUUUGUCUGCUUACUCUGGCUAGGACUUCCAGUACUAUGUUGAAUAGAAGUGGCAGAAGUGGGCAUCCUUGCCUUCCACUGUAUCUUAGAGGAAAAAAAAUUGUUUUUUUACCAUUGAGUAUGAUAUCAACUGUGAAUUUUUCAUAUGUAGCCUUUAUUAUGUUGAGGUAAUUUUAUUCUAUUUCUAAUAUUUUGAAUGCUUUUUAUCAUGAAACAUUACUGAGAUGUGUCCAGUAGUUUUCAGCCUCUAUUGAGAUGAUCUUGUGAUUUUUAUCCUUCAUUCUAUUAAUGUGGUGUAUCAUAGCAAUUGACUUGCUUAUAUUCAAAAAUCCUUGGAUCCUAAGGAUAAAUCUCACUUCGUGAUGGGGUAUGAUUUUUAAUAUGCUGAUGAAUUAAAUUUGCUGAUAUUUUGUUAAAGAUUUUUGUAUCCAUGUUUAUCUUGGCUUGUAGUUUUCUUUUCUGGCAGUAUCUUUUGUCUGGCUUUGGUAUUAGGGUGAUGCUGGCCUCAUAGAAUACGUUUGGAAAUGUUCCCUCUUCUUUGUUUUUGGUAGAGCUUAAGAGAAUUGGCAUUAAUUCUUUUUUAAAUGUUUGAUGGAAUUCACUUCAUUAAAUGUUUGGUAGAAUUAACUUUUGAAGCCAUUUCUUUGUUGUGAGGUGUUUGAAUACAGAUUCAGUCUCCUUAUUGGUUAUUGGUCAGCUUUGUUUUAUUCUUUCGAUGGUGUCGUGUUUCCCUGAUUCUUCAUGAUCCCUGUGGCCUUACAUUGGUAUCUGUACUUUUGUGGAAACAGUGACAUCUUUCACUAUUUACAGUUUGACUUCAGCAGGAAAAUCCCUUCAUCACUCAACCCAGCUAGAGAUUUUGUGUGGGCCAGCUGUUAGGGCUUGUGAGUAGGCCUGCUGCCACGCUCCAGAGGCAGGAUAAAUUGUGGUUUUAUUUCAUUAAGAAAAACUAAAACAUCUUGGAAGGCAAUGACUCUUAAAUGUUAGCACACAUGAAAAAAAUUAAGAGCUAUUAAAAUGCAGGAGGCGGAGGCUGCAGUAGGCUGAGAUUAAAAAAAAAGUGAGGGUGUGCCAAGAUGGCUCAGAGGACACAACACCAGAAUGCAGCUCCCAGCAAAUGAGAUGCAGAGGGCUAGAGGAUUUCAUGAUUCCAAGCAAAGUGUUGGUUUCAUUUCAGUGGGACUGGUAGGUCACUGAAAAUAGCCCAGGGAAGGCAAGCCAAAGCCAAACUGGGCAAGAGCAGCCCAGGGAGGGCUAACAGAGACAGGGCAGGGUGUGUCCCCACCUGGAAUGUGUAGCCAGCUUGGAGGGUCAGGGACUUCACCCCCUCAGUGCUCCUAUUAGGAUCCUGUGCUUACCUCAUCCCUCCUGCAAUCCACGGUCCACAAGAGCCCCACUGGACUGAGGGGCACCAUGGGUUGUUUAUGCAAAUCUGAGCGAUAGCUCCUGCCUCAUGCUGCAAGUUGUUGGCACGGACCUUGUUGAACUAAGACCAGAAGGACAGAACCACCUGUCCCAUAGAAAGAGGCAGAGUUGAAAGAGGGGAAACAGGCCACAAGGCCUGGCAGGCCCCACCCCCACAAAACUCAAACUGAAGCCAGUGUGCUAGAGAGCUCCACAGCAAAUAUACCAGUUUGACCCCAACAAGGAAGAUCAAGCUCUGGGAAGGAGGGACGCCAUUGUGAAGGCAGGGCUAAUCUCACCUCACCUGUGUAAACAAAUUGGGUAGGGGGGGCGGGAGACCACCCAGUCAACAGCCUGACUGAAUCCAAGACAGCCCAGCAACACCUCUACAGGCCAAAAAAGAUUACAGCUCCAACCUCAACAGAAAGGGAGUCCACUCAGAGAUUCCUCCCGAAAUCACCAACUUCAAAGAUGAAAGCAAGAUAAUUCCACCAAGAUGGGAAGAAACCAGUGCAAAAAGGAUGAAACCAUCAAAGACCAGAACACCUCUUCGGCUCCCAGAGAUCACAACUCCUCAUCAUCAAGGGAACAAAACAAGAUGGAGAAUGGGUUUGACAAAUUGACAGAAGCAGGCUUUCAGAAGGUGGGUAAAACAAACUUCUCUGAGUUAAAAGACCAUAUUCUAACCCAGUGCAAAGAAACUAAGAACAUUGAAAAAAGGUUAGAUGAAAUGCUAACUAGAAUAACCAGCUUAGAAAAGAACAUAAACGACUUAAUGGAGCUGAAAAACACAGCAUGAGAACUUCACAAGACAUACACAAGUUUCCACAGUGGAAUCAAUCAAGCAGAAGAAAGGAUAUCAGAGAUUGAAGAUCAAAUCAAUGAAAUAAAAUGAGAAGGCAAGAUUAGAGAAAAAAGAGUGAAAAGAAAUGAACAAAGCCUCCAAGAACUAUUGGAUUAUGGGAAAAGACCUAAUCUACCCUUGAUCAGCAUACCUGAAUGUGAAGGGGAGAAUGAAUCCAAGCUGGAAGACACGUUUCAGGAUAUUUUUCAAGAGAACUUCCCCAACCUAACAAGACAGGCCAACAUUCAAAUCCAGGAAAUACAGAGAACACCACAAAGAUACUCCUCAAGAAGAGCAACCCCAAGACACAUAAUUAUCAGAUUCACCAGGGUUAAAAUGAAGGGAAAAAUGCUAAGGGCAGACAUAGAGAAAGGUUAAGUCACCACAAAGGAAAGAUCAUCAGACUCACAGCAGGUCUCUCAGCAGAAACUCUAUAAGCUAAAAGGGAGUGGGGGUCAAUAUUGAACAUCCUUAAGGAAAGAACUUUCAAUUCAGAAUUUCCUAUCCAGCCAAACUAAGCUUCAUAAGUGUAGGAGAAAUAAAAUCCUUUACAGAGAUGCAAUUGCUGAGAGAUUUUGUCACUACAAGACCUGCCUUACAAGAGCACCUGAAGGAAGUACUAAACAUGGAAAGGGACAACCAGUACGAGCCACUGAAAAAAUGUACCAAAUGGUAAGAACAAUGAUGAAAUGAAGAAGCUGCAUCAACUAACAGGCAAAACAACCAGCCAGUAACAAAAUGCCAGGAUCAAAUUUAAACAUAACACUAUUAAUGUUGAAUGUAAAUGGCCUAAAUGCCCCCAAUCAAAAGACACAGACUGGCAAACUGGAUAAAAAGUCAAAACCCAUCGGUUUGCUGUAUUCAGGAAACCCAUCUCAAUUGCAGAGACUCACAUAGACUCAAAAUAAAGGGAUGGAAGAUUUACCAAAUGGAGAGCAAAAGCAGGAGUAGCAAUCCUAGUCUCUGAUAAAAUGGACUUUGAACCAACAAAGAUCAAAAGAGACAAAGAAGAGCAUUACAUAAUAGUUAAAGGAUCAAUGCAACAAUUAGAGCUAACUAUCCUAAAUAUAAAUGCACCCAAUACAGGAGCACCUAGAUAUAUAAAGCAAGUUCUUAAUGACCUACAAAGAGACUUAGACUCCCACACAAUAAUAGUGGGAGACUUUAACACUCCACUGGCAAUAUUGGACAGAUCAACAAGACAGAAAGUCAAAUAGGAUAUCCAGGACUUGAACACAGAUCUGGACCAAGCAGACCUAAUAGAUAUUUACAGAACACUCCACCCCAAAUCCACAGAACACACAUUCUUCUUAGCAUCACAUCACAUUUACUCUAAAAUUGACCACAUAAUUGGAAGUGAAUCACUCCUGAACGAUGCAAAAGAAUGGAAAUCAUAACAAACAGUCUCUCAGACCAUGACACAAUCAAAUUAGAACUCAGGAUUAAGAAAAGCACUUAAAACCACACAGUCACAUGGAAACUGAACAACUUGCUCCUGAAUGAUGAAUGGAUAAACAACAAAAUGAAGGCAGAAAUAAAAAUGUUCUUCGAAAUCAAUGAGAACUAAGAUGCAACAAACCAGAAUCUAUGGGACACAUUUAAACAGUGUCUAGAGGGAAAUUUAUAGCAAUAAAUGCCCACAUGAGAAACAAGGAAACAUCUAAAAUCGAUACUCUAUCAUCAAAAUUGAAAGGGCUAGAGGAGCAAGAUCAAAAAAACUCAAAAGCAAGUAGAAGAAAAGAAAUAACUAAGAUCAGAGCAGAACUGAAGGAGAUAGAGAAACCAAAAAGCCUUCAAAAAAUUAAUAAAUUCAGGUAGCUGGUUUUAUUGAAAAGAUCCACAAAAUAGACCGCUAACUAAACUAAUAAGAAAAGAGGGAAGAAUUGAAUAGAUGCAAUAAAAAACCAUACAGCAGAGAUCUUGACAAGUUCCUCAGAAAUACAAACUACCAUCAAAGAUUGCUACAAACUGCUCUAUGAACAUAAACCAGUAAAUCUUGAAGAAAUGAAUAAAUUCCUGGACAUUUGUAUACUCCCAAGACUAAGCCAGAAAGAAGUUGAAACCCUGAAUAUUCCAAUAGCAAGGUCUGAAGUCGAGGCAGCAAUUAAGAGUCUACCAAUCAAAAAAAGUCCAGAUGGAUUCACAGGUGAAUUCCACCAAAUGUAGAAAGAGGAGCUGGUACCAUUCCUGUUGAAACUAUUCUAAACAGUAUAAAAAGAGGGAAUCCUUCCCAAAUCAUUUUAUGAGAUCAACAUCAUCCUGAUACCAAAACCUUGCAGAGACACAACUGAAAAAGAAAACUACAGGCCAAUGUCCAUGACAAACACAGAUGCAAAAAUCUUCAGUAAAAUACUGGCAAACUGAAUCCAACAGCACAUCAAAAAGCUUAUCCACCACAAUCAAGUAGGCUUUAUCCCUGGGAUGCAAAGCUGGCUCAACAUACGCAAAGCUGUAAAUGUAAUCCACCACAUAAACAGAACCAAAACCUAAAACCACAUGAUAAUCUCAAUAGAUGCAAAGAAGGCAUUUGACAAAAUUCAACAGCCCUUCAUGCUGAAAACUCUCAGUAAACUAGGUAUUGAUAGAACAUAUCUCAAAAUAAUAAAAGCUAUUUAUGAGAAACCCACAGCCAAUAUUAUACUGAAUGGGCAAAAACUAGAAGCAUUCCCGUAAAAAACUGGCACUAGACAAGGAUGCCCUCUCUCACCACUCCUAUUCAAUAUAGUAUUGGAAGUUCUAGCCAUAGCAAUUAGGCAAUAAAAAGAAAUAAGGGGCAUUCAAUUAGGAAAAAAAGAAGUCAAAUUGUCCCUAUUUGUAGACGACAUGAUCAUAUAUUUAGAAGAUCCCAUCAUCUCAGCCCAAAACCUCCUUAAGCUGAUAAGCAACUUUGGCAAAGUCUCAGAAUAUAAAAUGAGUGUUCAGAAAUCACAAGCAUUCCUAUACACCAACAACAGACAAACAGAGAGCCAAAUCAUGAGUGAACUGCCAUUUACAAUUGCUGUAAAGAGAAUAUAAUACCUAGGAAUAAAACUAACGAAGGAUGUAAAAGAUCUCUUCAAGGAGAACUACAAACCACUGAUCAAGAAAAUAAGAAAGGACAAAAAUAGAUGGAAAAACAUUCCAUGCUAAUGAUUAGGAAGAAUCAAGAUUGUGAAAAUGGCCAUACUGCCCAAAGUAAUUUACAGAUUCAGUGCUAUCCCCAUCAAGCUACCAUUGAUCUUCUUCACAGAGCUGGAAAAAAACACCAAACUUCAUAUGGAACCAAAAGAGAGCCCGCAUAGCCAAGACAAUCCUAAGCAAAAAGAACAAAGCUGGAGGCAUCAUGCUACCUGACUUCAAACUAUAUUACAAGGCUAUAGUAAUCAAAACAGCAUGGUACUGGUACUAAAACAGAGAUAUAGACCUAUGGAACAGAAGAGAGGCCUCAGAAGCAACUCCACACAUCUACAACCAUCUGAUCUUUCACAAACCAGACAAAUACAAGCAAUGGGGAAAGGAUUUCCUUUUUAAUAAACGGUGAUGAGAAAACUGGCUAGGCAAAUGCAGGAAGCUGACACUGGAUGCCUUCCUGACACCUUACACUAAAAUUAACUCUAGAUGAAUUAAAGAUUUAAACAUAAGAACUAAAACUAUAAAAACCCUAGAAGAAAAUCUAGGCAACACCAUUCAGGAUAUAGGCAUGGGCAAGGACUUCAUGACUAAAAUGCCAAAAGCAAUGGCAACAAAAGCCAGAAUAGACAAAUGGGAUCUAAUUAAACUUAAGAGUUUCCGAACAGCAAAAGAAACAAUCAUUAGAGUGAACCAGCAACCAACAGAUUGGGAAAAUAGUUUUGCAAUCUACUCAUCUGACAAAGGGCUAAUAUCCAGAAUCUACAAAGAAUUAAAACAGAUUUACAAGAAAACAACAGACCCAUUCAAAAGUGGGCAAAGGAUAUGAACGGACACUUUUCAAAAUAAGACAUUUAUGUGGCCAAGGAACAUGAACAAAUGCUCAUCAUCAUUGGUCAUUAGAGAAAUGCAAGUCAAAACUACACUGAGAUACCAUCUCAUGCCAAGUUAGAAUGCAAUCAUUAAAAAAUCUGGAGACAACAGAUGCUGGAGAGGAUAUGGCAGUACUAAUCACCCCAUUGUAAAAUCUCCUCCCUAUCUUUCAAGAAUCUGCUCAAGCACUUCACCACAAGAGGACAUCAGGACCUUGAGUCAGUCUCCUAACACUCCCUUUUCUGCCUCUCUCCAUUCUCACUGGCACUACUAGUCUUCCAGGUCCUCAUUGCUUCCCCAUUUAGAUUCUUGCCUCACUGAUCUCCACCAUGGUGCCCCACUUCACCCUUGAUAUGGUUUGGCUGUUUCCACCCAAACUCUCAUCUUGAAUUAUACUCUCCAUAAAUCCCCAUGUGUCAAGGGUGGAGCAGGUGGAGGUAAUUGUAUCAUGGGAGUGGUUUUCCCCAUCCUAUUCUCAUGAUAGUGAGUCUCAUAAGAUCUUAUGGUUUUAUAAGCAUCUGGCAGUUCCCCUGCUUGCACUCAUUCCAUCCUGAUGCCUUGGGAAGAAGAUGCCUGCUUUUCCUUUGCCUUCUGCCAUGGUUGUAAGUUUCCUGAGGCUUUCCCAGCAAUGCAGAACUGUGAGUCAAUUAAACCUCUUGUCAUUAUAAAUUACCCAGUCUCGGGUGUUUCUUCAUAGCAGUGUGAGAACAGGACUAAGACAACCCUGAAGCCAGAGCAUCUUUCCAAAAUACAGAUUUGAUCAUUUCUUGCCAAUGCUUCAUAUAGUGUAGGCAUUCCUUACUCCUUGUGCCCUCAUUUCCUAAAUUGGGUCUCAGGGAAUCUUGUACUCGAGUUUUGUUGAUGUCCCAUGAGAAGAGGUUGCUAACCCAUUUGGAGAACACUGUAUUCCUUGAAAUUCAGGAUGAGGUAGUGUUUCAGUGUGCAGUAAUUUUAUACUGAACCUGUCCUGGGGCCCUUUAUUCCAGAAUUCCUAAUAUCUUGCAGGAAUUAAUAUUCCGUAGAAUAUAGUUUGUGAAAGGUUGACCCACAAGAAAAUCUUUUUAGCAUCACCUACAAGUCCCUUCACAGUAUAAUUACUCUUAUCUCUACAUCACUCUCCCCCACAUCUUAAACUGUAGCCAUUCCAGAGUUCUAUUGGUUUCACGGUUUUUCAGAACACUGUGCCUUUUCACAUUCUGCCCCCUGCAUGAAGAGCCCUUUUUUCUUUCUUCUUAUAAUUCAACUAGAAAAGUCUUGGUUUGCUCUCCUUUCCAGAAGACAUCUCGCCCUCCUAAGCAAAUUUAGCCCUCUCCUCACCCAGUGCCCUCUGUGUCCACUGUCGCUGCCAUUUUUUCAUGGUUUCAUGUGUCUCUGAAUCCUCUUUAUCUAUUAUUAUUUCUACAUGCUUGUCAUAUAACCCAAUGAGUAAUUGCUGAAUAAGUGACAUUAAGAAAAGAUGAAAGUAAAUCUGGAAAAUGCUGAAGAAAUGUGCUCUGGCAUCAAUACUCCAAUUCUGUUCUCUAACCUACAACAUAGAAUAAAGCACUUUACAUAAAAUUAUAUAAUGUACUGUGACUCUGCCCUAAUGAAAAAGGGCAAUAUUUAUUUUUUAAAGGGAUUGAAAUUCAGAGCCAUGAGGCAGCGUAAAGUUUCAGAAUGUGGCUCUGUGCCAGAAAGUGUGCCCAAUGCCAGGGAUACAGCGCUAAGCAAAACAAAUGAGGUCCCUGCCCUCAAGGAGCUUGCUAACCCUUGGAGGAGACACACUAACAACCAUAAAAUGCAACCCACACAAAUGUGUCAGGUAGGAUAAUCUGUGAUAGAGUGACUUAUUUAGUCAGGGAGGACAGGAACAUUUUUCCCAAACAAGUGAAGCUUGAGCUGAGUUCCUAAGAAUGAAAGAGAUAACCCGGAUAAGAGAGAUAAAAGGACCAUUUAAGGAGCAAGACAAGGCUGCAGAAGUGAGCAGAAACUUGUAGGAAGUACUAAGGAGCUUAAAGUCUUUAUCCCAAGAGCAGUGGGAAGUCACAGAAAGGUUGGAGAGCAUGGGUAGGGACUUAAUCAGAUUUGCAUUAUAAGAAGAUUCAUCUGACUGCCUGUAGGAAACAGAUUGGAGAGGGGAUAGUCUAGAAGCUGUUACUUGGUCUUUGGUGAACUAAUACAAAGACAUUUAAGAUGUAUAAUGGAGAGAAAGGGAAAUAGUAAGGAGUACUCUUAGGUUUAUUGCCUGAAUGUUAGUAUCAUUUUUAGAUUCAGGGUGUCCUGAAGAGAAACAGAUUUGGAGAGAGAGACCAUAAUGACAGUAUUGGACAUGUUGAGAUUGAGCUGCUUUUGAGACAUCCUAGGGAGGAGACGUCAAGGAAGACAUUUGGCUAUUUGGGUCUGGAGCUCAGAUGAGGGAUAUAGGGUAAAAAUAUUGGUGUGAUUGUAAGAUUUCAGCAAUUGAAAAUGAUACUGUAUCAGCAACAACUGUUCUCAGGCCAAGGUACUGUAACGGGAACACCUAUGGAAAAAAGGGAAGGUAACCUUAAAAGAAAGGGGAAAAAAGCAAAAAUUCUAGCCAGAAAAACCUUCAAUAAUUUUUACCAAGGGGAAAAAAAUAGGAGCAUUAAAUCUUACCAAGGAAAGGGGACAAGAAAUGUCAUAUUUAUUGCUACUUUAUGUUAAAAUUAAACCAACCAAAGUGUGGGAUCAUCAGAAAAACUGGGUUCUAGUCCCAUUUUCUCAUGUUACCAGCUGGAUCUCCUCACAUGAAUCAUUUUCCUGAUCAAAAAAGUGGGUGUAUUGGUUUUUUAAAAAACUAACAGCCUUUUCUCAGUCUAGAACAAAAGUCCUAUGCACAUCUUUGCAGGGAGCCUGCUGGUAGCCUGCAUCUGUUGUCUCCAGGUUCUAGAAACUCAUAGCAUAUGGAAUGCUGGAGUUAGAAGAGUCCUGAGGUCAUCUACUAGGGACUUUUCAAACUUUUUUGUAAAGUUUUUAAGAGAUACUUUUACAUGCUUUAAAAAUGUUUAUAAAAUAUAUUAAUGUCUCAAAUAAAUCUUAGCACUGCAAAAUAUAACACCAGUCAAAGUAAAGUGUUAAUAUCAGUCUGAUUAAGAAGGGAAGGGAGCCCUGGGGCCCUACCUGGGUGGCCUCACCUUUCAAGGCCAGACUAGUCACCAGUCCAGUCUCCCCAUUCACAGCUGAAGAAACAGAGGCCCGAGGCCACACAAUAGAUGUCAGCAGAGCCAGGAUUUGGCCCCUGUGGUCCCUAAGCCUAUAAUCUCUCCACAACACCAUGCAGAAUCAGCAAGACUAGGGAGGGGAAAAGUGGCAGCUUCACCCUCCAGCCCUCUUGUGUCUCUAUAAUAUCUGGAUUGUUCCAGCCAGCCUGCAGGUCCCUCCAUGCAGGUAUGCAUUCUGUGGGACCGGCUAAUAGAGUCCAUCUAAUUAGAGUAGCUAUGUGGGGUAACUCUAAGGUAGAUGAAAAUGGGAUACAUUAUAUAUAGUGAUGAAGAUGACAAGGCUGGGUGCAGUGGCUCACACCUGUAAUCCCAGUACUUUGGGAGGCUGAGUUGGGCAGAUCACUUGAAGUCAGGAAUUGGAGACCAGCCUAGCCAACAUGGUGAAACCCUGUAAGAUAACUGAAUUAUUCAGGUGGGCCCAAUGUAAUCACAAGGUCUGUAAAAGGGGAAAGAGGUAGCAAAAGUGAAGAGCCGGAGAAAAAGAUGAGAUGCACUGGGUGCGGUGGCUCACACCUGUAAUCCCAGCACUUUGGGAGGCCAAAGCAGGUAGAUCAUGAUGUCAAGAAUUCAAGACCAGUCUGGCCAAUAUGGUGAAACCCCAUCUCUAUUAAAAAGCACAAAAAUUGGCUGGGCGUGGUGGCAUGUGCCUGUAGUCCCAGUCACUUGGGAGGCUAAGGUAGAAGAGUUGCUUGAACCUGGUGGCAGAGGCUGAUGUGAGCUGAAAUCACUCCACUGCACUCCAGCCUGGGCAACAGAGUAAGACUCUGUCUCAAAAAAAAAAAAAGAAGAAGAUGAUGAUUAGAUGGUAAAAGCAGCGUUAGAGACAUGCUAUGUUGCCAGCUUUGAGGAUGGAGGACAGAGACCAUGAACCAUGAAAUGCAGGCAAGAAAUUAGAAAAGUCGACGGUUCUGGGCAGGGGUCUGGGGAGCGCAGCAGCAAUGGCGGGCCACCUUGUGCUCUACAACGGCGCCAAGAUGCCCAUCCUUGGGCUGGGCACCUGGAAGUCCCCUCCAGGCCAAGUGACCGAGGCUGUGAAGGUAGCCAUCGAUGUUGGGUACCGCCACAUCGACUGUGCCCAUGUGUACUACAAUGAGAAUGAGGUGGGGGUAGCCAUUCAGGAGAAGCUCAAGGAGCAGGUGGUGAAGUGUGAGGAGCUGUUCAUCGUCAGCAAGCUGUGGUGCACGUAACUUGAGAAGGGCCUGGUGAAAGGAGCCUGCCCGAAGACGAUCAGCGACCUGAAGCUGGACUACCUGGACCUCUACCUUAUUCACUAGCCAACUGGCUUUAAGCCUGGGAAGGAAUUUUUCCGGUUGGAUGAGUCAGGCAACGUGAUUCCCAGUGACACCAACAUUCUGGACACGUGGGCGGCCAUGGAAGAACUGGUGGAUGAAGGGCUGGUGAAAGCUAUUGGCAUCUCCAACUUCAACCAUCUCCAGGUGGAGAGGAUCUUAAACAAUCCUGGCUUAAAGUAUAAGCCUGCAGUUAACCAGAUUGAGUGCCACCCAUACCUCACUCAGGAGAAGUUAAUUCAGUACUGCCAGUCUAAAGGCAUCGUGGUGACGGCCUACAGCCCCCUAGGCUCUCCCGACAGGCCCUGGGCCAAGCCCGAGGACCCUUCCCUCCUGGAGGAUCCCAGGAUCAAGGCGAUCGCAGACAAGCACAAUAAAACCACAGCUCAGGUGCUGAUCCGGUUCCCCAUGCAGAGGAACUUGGUGGCGAUCCCGAAGUCUGUGACACCAGAACGCAUUGCUGAGAACUUUAAGGUCUUUGACUUUGAACUGAGGAGCAAGGAUAUGACCACCUUACUCGGCUACAACAGGAACUGGAGGGUCUGUGCCUUGAUGAGUGCUGUCUCCCACAAGGAUUACCCCUUCCAUGAAGAGUUUUGAAGCUGUGGAUGCCUGCUCAUCCCUAAGUGACCUAUACCUGUGUUUCCUGCCUCAUUUUUUUCCUUGCAAAUGUAGUAUAGCCUGUGUCAUUCAGCAGUGGGACAGCGGCUUAGAGAGUGGCCCAGCGAGAGCGUGUCUGGCUUGAUGCUGGAUCUGACGAGGCCUGCCCGUAGAGUAGAAGUCUCUUCCAGUUUGCUUUGCCCUUCUCUUUGCCCCACUGGGGAAAGUACAACCUGAAUACCCUUUCUCACCAAAGAGAAGCAAAAUCUGCCAAGUCAAAAUGGUGCCACUAACAGCUGAGUUUUGACUGCUUGGAACUGUAAUCCUUUCAGUAAGACUUCUCUUUGCCUCAAAUAAAAAGUGCUUUUGUGAGUUGAAAAAAAAAAAAAAAGAAAAGAAAUUAGUAAAGUCAAGAAAACGAAUUCUGCCCUAGAGUCUCCAGAAAGGAACUCAACCUUAUUGACACUUUGAUUUUAGCCCAGUGAAGCCUUUGUUGGACUUCUGAACUACGGAACUAAACCGUAAUAAACAUUUGUUGUUUUAAGCCAAAAAAAAAGAAAACAUUAGCUCAGAGCAGUGGAGCACACUUAUAAUCCUAGAUACUCAGGAGGCUGAGGCAGGAGAAUAAUUUGAACCCAGGAGGCAGAGGUUGCAGUGAGCCGAGAUCACAUCAUUGUACUGCAGCCUGGGUGAUGAAGUGAGACUGUCGCAAAAAAAAAAAAAAAAAAAAGGCCAAAAAAAAAACUGGGGGAGGGCCGAGAGUAAAAAUAUGGUUAACAGCCAAGAGUAAAAAAAAUGACAACUCUCAGAAAGCACUCUUGAUCAAUUCUGGGUAUGAAUUAAGAGAUCAUAAUGCCCAACUUCCUAGAUUCUCAGUUAUUGCAAAAAAAAAUGAUUUAGGAAAGAAUAUACACUUCCCCCCCAACUAUAUUGACACAGAUAUACGGAUGUAUACACACACACACACACACACACACACACUCUCUCUCUCUCUCUCUCUCUCUCUCUCUCUCUCACUCUCUUUCUCUCUCUUUCUCUUUCUGGUAACUUAGAAUAUUUUCCCUAAAUUUCUCUUAAAAGUAGGUUAGAUAGAAGACAAAUCUAAUCUGACUGCCUAGACUAUAUAAGUAAAAUUUCCUGUUAACUUAACCUGGUGAAGUUAAUUUCAUUAAAUUUGUUCAAUUUAAUUGUUUGGAUCAAGGCCAUAUAUUCAGAAGGCACCUGUUCAAACCCAAGUAUGUGCCCAGAAGGAAUAGCAUAAUAUAAUACUAAGAGCCUUUGGCAAAGAGAGAAUGCAAUAAAAUAGUCCACUUUAUUUAUGCGGGCAAGAAGAAAAGGAACAGUGUGAGAAAACAGUGUGGUAAAUUCACCAACAUCUGGUCUAGGUAUGUUGUUUUAGAAGUUGUCCUAGCUACUUUGCAGAAUAAGCUACAUUGUGAAUAAAUACAUGCUGUCAAACACUCCCUCUUUCCCAUAGAUGUGUAGGAUUCUGGUAAAACCUUUUAGGAGUCUGUUGGAACAAAGCUUCAAAAAAGUAGUUUCACAGCUGGAUUCACAGAAAGAGGAUGGGAAAGAGAAAAUUAUAUCAUAUUUUUAUAUUAGUAUACAUUAACAUUCUGAUUUGGGGAAGAUAACUUAUUUUCUCCUAGUUUAUGACAUUCUGAUUCUAUCUUCACUUUUUUUUUAGAAUAUGUUAUCAAAGCAUGUUUAUUUUUAAUUUUAAAAAGUUUUUUAAUGUAGAUUAAGGGGGGUACGUGUGCAGAUUUUUUAAUUGAAUUUUAGGCUUUGGGGUACAUGUGAAGAACAUGCAAGAUUGUUGCAUAGGUACACACAUGGCAGUGUGAUUUGCUGCCUUCCUCCCUGUCACCUAUAUCUGGCAUUUCUCGCCAUGCUAUCUCUCCCCAACUCCCCAGCCCCCACUGUCCCUCUCCUAUUUCCCCCCAACAGACCCCUGUGUGUAAUGUUCCCUUCCCUGUGUCCAUGUGUUCUCAUUGUUCUACACCCACCUAGGAGUGAGAACAUGAAGUGUUUGAUUUUCUGUUCUUGUGUCAGUUUGCUGAGAAUGAAGGUUUCUAGGUUCAUUCAUGUCCCUACAAAGGACACAAACUCAUCAUUUUUGAUGGCUGCAUAACAUUCGAUGGUGUAUAUGUGCCACAUUUAAGGGGGUACAUGUGGGGGUGUACAUGCCACAUUUUCCCUGUCCAGUCUAUCAUCGAUGGGCAUUUGGGUUGGUUCCAGGUCUUUGCUGUUGUAAACUGGGCUGCAAUGAACAUUCCUGUGCAUGUGUCCUUAUAGUAGAGCGAUUUAUAUUCCGUUGGAUAUAUAUCCAGUAAUGGGAUUGCUGGGUCAAAUGGAAUUUCUAUUUCUAGGUCCUUGAGGAAUCACCACACUGUCUUCCACAAUGGUUGAACUAAUUUACACUCCCACCAACAGUGUAAAAGUGUUCCUAUUUCUCCACAUCCUCUCCAGCAUCUGUUGUCUCCAGAUUUUUUAAUGAUCGCCACUCUAACUGGCGUGAGAUGGUAUCUCAAUGCAGUUUUGAUUUGCAUUUGUCUAAUGCCCAAUGAUGAGCAUUUUUUCAUAUGUUUCUGUUCCUCAUGUAUGUCUUCUUUUGUAAAGUGUCUGUUCAUAUCCUUCGCUCACUUUUGAAUGGGUUGUUUGUUUUCUUCUUGUAAAUCUGUUUUAGUUCUUUGUAAAUUCUGGAUAUCAGCCCUUGGUCAGAUGGGUAGACUGCAAAAAUCUUUUCUCAUUCUGUUGGUUGCUGAUUCACUCUAAUGACUAUUUCUUUUGCCCUGCAAAACUGUGGAGUUUGAUUAGGUCCCAUUUGUCUAUUUUGGCUUUUGUUGUCAAUGCUUUCAGUGUUUUGGUCAUGAAGUGCUUGCCUACUCCUAUGUCCUGAAUGGUUUUGCCUAGAUUUUCUUCUAGGGAUUUUAUGGUGUUAGGUCUUAUGUUUAAGUCUUUAAUCCAUCUGGAGUUAAUUUUAGUGUAAGGUGUCAGGAAGGGUUUCAGUUUUUGCUUUCUGCAUUUGGCUAGCCAGUUUUCCUAACACCAUUUAUUAAACAGGAAAUCCUUUCCCCAUGGCUUGUUGUUGCCAGGUUGGUCAAAGAUUGGAUGGUUGUAGAUUUGUGGUGUUGCCUCCUGUGGUGUGGCCUCUGCUCUGUUCCUUUAGUCUGUAUCACUGUUUUGGUACCAGUACCAUGCUGUUUUGAUUACUGUAGCCUUGUAGUAUAGUUUGAAGUCUGGUAGUGUGAUGCCUCCUGCUUUGUUCUUUUUGCUUAGAAUUGACUUGGCUAUGCACGCUCUCUUUUGGUUCCAUAUGAAGUUUAAAGUGUUUUUUUCCAGUUCUUUGAAGAAGGUCAUUGGUAGUUUGAUGGGGAUAGCAUUGAAUCUAUAAAUUAGUUUGGGCAGUAUGUCCAUUUUCACGAUAUUGAUUCUUCCUAAGCAUGAACAUGGAAUGUUUCUCCAUCUGUUUGUAUCCUCUCUUAUUUCGUUGAGCAGUGGUUUGAAGCUCUCCUUAGUUGUAUUUCUAGGUAUUUUAUUCUCUUUGUAGCGAUUCUGAAUGGCAGUUCAUUCUUGAUUUGGCUCUUUUUAAGUCUGUUAUUGGUGUAUAGGGAUGCUUGUGAUUUUGGCACGUUGAUUUUGUAUCCUGAGACUUCACUGAAGUUGUUUAUCAGUUUCAGGAGAUUUUGGCCUGAGAUGAUGGGGUCUUCUAGAUAUACAAUCAUGUUGUCUGCAAAUAGAGACAAUUUGGAUUCCUCCUUUCCUAUCUGAAUACCGUUUAUUUCUUUUUCUUGCCUGAUUGCUCUGGCUAGAACUUCCAGUACUAUAUUGAAUAGGGGUGGUGAGAGAGGGCAUCCUGUCUAGUGCCAGAUUUCAAAUGGAAUGCUUCCAGUUUUUGCCCAUUCAGUAUGAUAUUGGCUGUGGAUUUGUCGUAAAUAGCUUUUAUUAUUUUGAGAUACAUUACAUCAAUACCUAGUUUAUUGAGGGUUUUUAGCAUAAAGGGCUGUUGAAUUUUGUCAAAGACCUUCCCUGCAUCAGUUGAGAUAAUUAUGUGGUUUUUGUCUUUGGUUCUGUUUAUGCGGUGAAUUAUGUUUAUAGACUUGUGUAUGUUGAACCAGCCUUGCAUCCCUGGAAUGAAUCCUACUUGAUCAUGUUCGAUAAGCUUUUUGAUGUGCUGUUGCAAUCAGAUUGCCAGUAUUUUAUUGAAGAUUUUUUGCAUCUAUGUUCCUCAUGGAUAUUGGCCUGAAGUUUUAUUUUCUUGCUGAGUCUCUGCUGGGUUUUGGUAUCAGGAUGAUGUUGGUCUCAUGAAAUGAUUUGGGAAGGAUUCCCUCUUUUUGGAUUAUUUGGAAUCGUUUCAGAAGGAAUUGUACCAGCUGCUCUUUGUAUGUCUGGUAGAAUUGGGCUGUGAACCCAUCUGGACCUGGGCUUUUUUUGUGUGGUAGGCUCUUAAUUACUGCCUCAGCUUCAGACCUUGAUACUGGUCUAUUCAGGGUUUCGACUUCUUCCUGAUUUAGGUUUAGGAGGAUGCAAGUGUCCAGAAAUUUAUCCAUUUCAUCCAGGUUUACUAGUUUAUGUGCAUAGAGUUGUUUAUAAUAAUAUCUGAUGAUAGUUUGAAUUUCUGUGGAAUCUGUGGUGAUUUCCCCUUUAUCGUUUUUUAUUGCAUCUAUUUGAUUAUUCUCUUUUCUUUUUUAUUAAUCUGGCUAGUGGUCUGUCUAUUUUGUUGAUCUUUUCGAAAAACCACCUCCUGUAUUUAUUGAUUUUUUGAAGGGUUUUUUGUGUCUCUGUCUCCUUCAGUUCUGCUCUGAUCUUAGUUAUUUCUUGUCUUCAGCUAGGUUUUGAGAUUUUUUGAUCUUGAUCCUCAAGCUCUUUCAAUUUUGAUGACAGGGUGUCAAUUUUCGAUCUCUCCUUGCUUCUCAUGGGGGCAUUUAUUGCUAUAUAUUUUCCUCUAGAGACUGCUUUAAAUGUGUCCCAGAGAUUCUGGUAUGUUGUGUUUUCAUUCUCACUGGUUUCAAAGAACAUCUUUAUUUCUGCCUUCAUUUCAUUGUUUAUCCAGUCAAGAGCCAGUUGUUCAGUUUUCAUGAGGCUGUGCGGUUCUGAGUUAGUUUCUGAAUUCUGAGUUCUAACUUGAUUGCACUGUGGUCUGAGAGAAUGUUUGUUAUUAUUUCCGCUCUCUUGCAUUUCUGAGGAGUGAUUUACUUCCAAUUAUGUGGUCAAUUUUAGAGUAGGUGUGAUGUGGUGCUGAGAAGAAUGUAUAUUCUGUGGAUUGGGGGUGGAGAGUUCUGUAAAUGUCUAUUAGAUUUGCUUGGCUCAGGUCUGAGUUCAAGUCCUGGAUAUCCUUGUUAAUUUUCUGUCUGGUUGAUCUGUCUAAUAAUGACAAUGGGGUGUUAAAGUCUCCCACUAUUAUUGUGUGGGAGUCUGUGUCUCUUUGUAACUCAUUAAGAACUUGCCUUAUAAAUCUGGGUUCUCCUGUACAAGGUGCGUAUAUAUUUAGGAUUGUUAGCUCUUCUUGUUGCAUUGAUCCUUUUACCAUUAUGUAAUGUCCUUAUUUAUCUAUUUUGAUCUUUGUUGGUUUAAAGUGUAUUUUAUCAGAGACAAGAAUUGCAACUCCUGCUUUUUUUUCUCUCUCUCUCUAUUUGCAUGGUAAAUCUUCCUCCAUCCCUUUAUUUUGAGCCUUUGUGUAUCCUUGCAUGUGAGAUGGGUUUCCUGGAUACUGCUCACCAAUGGGUUUUGGCUUUUAAUCCAAUUUGCCAGUCUGUGUCUUUUGAUUGGUGCAUUUAGCCCAUUUACAUUUAGGGUGGGAAUUUGAUACUGUCAUUUUGAUGCUAGCUGGCUGUUUUGCCCGUUAGUUGAUGCAGAUUCUUCAUUUUGUUGAUGCUCUUUGCCAUUUGGUAUGUUUUUGGAGUGGCUGGUACUUGUUCCUUUCUAUGUGUAGUGACUCUUUCAGGAGCUCUUGUAAAGCAGGUGGUGACAAAACCUCUGACUACUUGCUUGUUCACAAAGGAUUUUAUUUUUUCUUUCACUUAUGAAGCUUAGUUUGGCUCGAUAUAAAAUUCUGGGUUGAAAGUCCUUUUCUUUAAGGAUGUUGAAUAUUGGCCUUCACUCUCUUCUGGCUUGUAGGGUUUCUGCCGAGAGAUCUGCUGUGAGUCUGAUGGGCUUCCCUUUGUGGGUAACCCGACCUUUCUCUCUGGCUGCCCUUAGCAUUAUCUUCUUCAUUUCAACCCUGGUGAAUCUGACGAUUAUGUGCCUUGGGGUUGCUCUUCUUGUGGAAUAUCUUUGUGGUGUUCUCUGUAUUUCCUGGACUUGAACAUUGGCCUGCCUUGCUAGGUUGGGUAAGUUUUCCUGAAUAAUAUCCUGAAGAGUAUUUUCCAGCUUGGAUUCAUUCUCUUCGUCACAUUCAGGUACACCUAUCAAACAUAGAUUAGGUCUUUUCACAUAGUUCCAUAUUUCUUGGAGACUUUGUUCAUUCCUUUUUGUACUUUUUUCUCUAAUCUUGCCUUCUCAUUUUAUUUUGCUGAGUUGAUCUUCGACCUCUGAUAUCCUUUCUUCUGCUUGGUCAAUUCAACUAUUGAAACUUGUGUAUGCUUCGCGAAGUUCUCGUGUUGUGUUUUUCAGCUCCGUCAGUUCACUUAUAUUCCUCUCUAAGUUUUCUAUUCUCAUUUGCAUUUUGUCAAAUCUUUUUUCAGUGUUCUCCGUUUCUUUGCAUUGGGUUAGAACAUGUUCUUUUCGCUCACAGAAGUUUCUUAUUACCCACCUUCUGAAGCCUGAUUCUAUCAGUUCAUCACUGAUUCUCCAUCCAGCCUUGUUCCCUUGCUAGUGAGGAGUUGUGAUCCCUUGUAGGAGGAGAGGUGUUCUGGUGUUAGGUGUGUUCAUCCUUUUUGCACUGGUGUCUUCCCAUCUUUGUGGAUUUAUCCAUCUGUCAUCUUUUUGUUGUUGACUUUCAGAUUGGGUCUCUGAGUGGGUGUCCAGUUUGUUGAUAAUGAAGUUAUUUCUUUCUGUUUCUAAGUUUUUUUCUAAUAGUCUGGCCCCUCUGCUGUAGGACUGCUGAAUUCUACUCCAUGCCCUGCUUGCCUGAGGAUCACCUGCAGCGGCUGUAGAACAGUAAGGCUUGCUGCCAGUUUCUUCUGCUGCUAUCUUUGUCCCAGAAGGAUAACCGCCAAAUGUCUGUCUGAGCUCUUCUUUAUGAGGUGACUCUUUAGAUAUACAGGGGUCAGGAAGCUGCUUGAGGAGACAGUCUGUCCUUUAUCAGAGCUAAGGUGCUGAGCUGUGAGCUCUGUUGUUCAUUUAGAGCUGCUGGGCAGGUACGUUUAAGUCUUCUGCAGCAGAACUUAUAAACCCCUUUUUUUCCCAUGUGCUCUGUCCCUGGGAGUUAAGGCUUUAUUUAUGAGUUUCCGUUGUGCUGCUGCCUUUUAUUCAGGGCUUCCCUGCCCAGUGAAGAGGCAUCCUAGUCACUGUCUGCCUGCAGAGGCUUUGCUGAGCUGCUGUGGGCUCCACCCAGCUACCAUGUGAACUUCCCUGCAGUCCUGUUUACACUGAUGUAGUUAGAACUGUCUUGGCAAUGGCAGCACAACUCUAUAAUGGUGGACUCUCUCUGUAACGGUGGGCUGCCUCAGCAAUGGCAGGCUACCUUCGUAGUGGUGGACUGCCUCGGUAAUGGUGGAUGCCCCUCCCCCCACAGAGCUGGACCUUCCCAGGUUGAGCUGUGCUUGCUGUGAAACUCUCAACCCAGAGCGUUUCCAAUUGCUGUUUUUUUGUGGGGGUGGGACCAGCUGAGCCUAAUCACCUGGUGAUCACCUGAGGCCCUGCCUCAGAGCCUUUCUUUUAGUUGAACGGUCGACUCUCUCCCAGGUGUUCCAGUCGCCUGUUGAAAAGGCACCGGGAUCUGUGUGAUUUCCUGCGCAGUGACUCACUGCACAGGCUGAAACAGCAGCGCUGAGAUUCGUGGUGCUUUUUUGCCUGGGAAUCUCCCAGCCUGGCUCCCUGUUUCAGUCCCCUUUUUAACCAGAUGAAUAAGUGACUCUGACUUCCCAGAGCUCCAAUCGCCAGCUAAAACAGUGCCCAGACCCGUGUAGUUUGUACAGAGAACCACUGCACUGGGGUGCCGGCAAAAUAGCCACACCAGGCAACCCAGCCCCCCACUGGCCAAACCAGCCAUGCUGGUGGCCCAUGGGGCUGCUCCACCUGGGAAUCUCCUGGUCUGUGGGCAAUAAAAAUCCAUAUGAAAAUGUGAAGUCCACUCACCCUCUGCACUUUCACUGGGAGCUGCAAUCCUGAGCUGCUCCUAAUCGGCCAUCUUGGAUCCCUCCCAGAUUUUUAACUAUACUAGUUAGUCCUGAUCUUAACAAACAAAAACCAAACAGCUAAUGAAUACCUCUCAUCCCCUUCUCCCCUACAGAAAACACUUAGUUUUUCAUUAUUAGUCAUACUGGGGAUGGUUGUGUUUUCUGUGGAAGAUUUUAUAACUUGCAGUGCAAAUAAUGCAAAUAUUUCUUGUUUACUUCAUGAAGUGUCACAGCUAAAAAAAGCAAGAACUGUGUGUUUUGAACCCUCUCUGGAAUCCUCCCUGUCACUUAGAAUUUAUGGUUCUUCCAUUCCUAUGAAUUUUAUAUGCUGUCAAAAUCGACAAGAAAUGUAAAUGCACAUGCCUUGAAGCACUCUUCAUGUUUUUUUCUACCAGUCAUUUCCAAGGGCUUCGUGAGACAAAGUCAGUAAUUGCUCAGACAGACUUUAGGUGUUAAAUAUUUUUCAAACAAACCCAGUUAAUGGCAUCAGUAAUAAAGAGCAGGGUAACAAAGAGAUGAUAGUGUUUCAUUUCAACCCGACACCCUCAGGAGAACAGAGAGCACAAGGCAAACCCAUAAGUGUUUGUAUAGUCCCUGAGCUGUACAGACAGAGUUCACAGGAAGCGGUUAAAGAUGCAGCAACUAAACCAGCAUUUAACUGGGUUUCCUUGGAAUCUUGCUGCUUUAUGCAAUUAAAAGCCUGGUGGAAGAUAUAUCAUUACAACUCAAUCUUGAUGUUUAUAAUAGAGUUCAAUUUUUAAGGUAGCUCUUCUACUAGGUGUGCCUCAACAAAAAUCUUACAAAGAAAACCUUUCUGCAGGAACUGUAUGACUCAGCUGGUUAAUCCCAGAGGUGCCAUCGCUGUUCACUGCCAUGUAAGCCAUUAGAUUCCCUGCUGUACUGAGCCUCCCCAGGGACCUUUAGGGAUAGGGAGGAACCCAGGAAAGACUCUCCACUACUUUUGAAAUGGAGACAAAGAAUGCUGAGGCAUGAUUGCAGCAGACCACAGGUUCACACCGAGGACUAACUUGUAUGUAAGCCAAUGAUGCUCCAUGCUCUGAAGAAGAUGAGAGAGAGAGGCUGCCAGAUGCCACAGUGGAGAAACUUCUGCCUUAAAUGCAUAUGCCAGAGACCUUCCUAGAGAGUCAUUUUAGCCACUCUAUUUCUGCUGUCCUUCGACUCAGCUCCUGUGCCACCUCGUAAAGGAAGCUGACACCAUAUCCUAUAGUCAAAGACAUUCUUUCCCUCUUCUGGUUUCACUUAUACUGCUUACCUGUCUACACUGACCAUAACACUUCUGCUUUGUGUCUUAUGCAGUUGUAUUCAUGUCUGUCUCUCCCACUAGUUUGUAUUUCCCAAAGGGAAAGGUCUAAGACUAUUGUAUUUUUGUAUUUCCUAUCUUAGGUACUCAUUAAUAAUUAUAACAAAAUGAAACUUAUUGAGCUAUUUUUUUAACUUGAGAAAGGGUCUUCCUCUGUCAUCCAGGCUGGAGUACAGUGGCACAAUCAUUUUUCAGUGAAGCUUCUUAACUCCUGGACACACGCCACCAUGCCCAGCCAAUUUUUAAUUUUCUUUGUAGAGAGACAGUUUCACUGUGGUGCCCAAGCUGGUCCUGAACUCCUAGACUCGAGCAAUCCUCCCACCUUGGUCUCCUAAAGUGCUGAGAUUACAAGUGUGAGACACCACUCAUUAGCCUUUGUGUACUUAUAUGCUGGGCACAUUGCAUAUAUAGUAUCGUUUCUUAUGAUUCUCUAACAUGAUAGGUAAAAAGCAUGGGCUUUGGAGCAAGACCACCUGUGUUCAAAGCCUUUCUCCUUCUGCAGUCUGCCAAAUAACCUUGAAACAGGCAGAAUCCCAGUGGUUUUCUGAUUUAUAGCCUCAGCUCUAUUCUAUCUCCAUAGAAGCCCCAUAGAUUUAAUUGAAUUAGACCCAUUAGCUUAAAGACCAAACUUAUUCCUCUUUAUCACUAAGUAAUCCUAAGGCAGCCCCCAUUAACUUGUGACUUAAUGUAUUCAGGUUUUUAGACACAAAGUGAUUUUGCUAAUCAUAUGAAUAAUAUUAAUUUUUACAUUUCUUUAGUAUUUUGUCAUUUUUACAGUUCUUUCAUGUAAAUUACCUCUACUGAUCUUCAUACCAUUCUUGUAAGGUGGGCAGGAUGACUGUCCUUUUCCCCACUUUACUGAGAAGUACAAUGAAGAGAAAGAAGCAAAAUGACUUGAAAUUUAUCUCAUAGCCAGACAGUGGCAGAGCUGCAACCGAAUCCAAGAUAUAAGUUCAUUGACAGGCUUCCUGCCUCUAUCUUGCUUUGUUCCUCAGCAAUACACACGUGUAUAUGCAGACUCACUAGCAGGCACCAAGAACCAGGUGCUGAGCUAGAGCUUCCAUGGUUCAGGCUGUCUAGUAACCAUAGUGAUUGCCGCUGUCCUCGUGGCAAGUGAGAUCACCCGGCACACACUUGCUCCAAGAUUUGAGUUACAAGAGAUGAGGCAUUUUCCACUGAGGGCCAUUAAGUUUGGAAUUCCCUUGUCUUGGUCUGACAUAACCCUAGAGUAUUCAUCUUCUGGGUUCCUGCAAACCAUAUCAAGUUGAGUUAGCCAGUCAUGAUUGGCAAGAAAUCCUAACAGGCAGGAGGAAGGUGCUAAACUGACCUCUACAUGUGAGCAAUUUGCAGUUUUGUGGGUGGAUUAUUUUUCCCUAGGUAUCCUUUAGGAUAGCUACCCAGGUAUACAUUAUUCUCAUUCUUUAAAAAUGCAUUUAUAGUUCACAGUCUGCAUGCUUUUGUUUCUGUGUUCUUACAUCAUGUCGCAAAUGAUGUGAUGGAGAAACCUAUAGGGAAGUUUUUGUUUCUUUUGCAUAAACUAUUUUGCAGUAAUUGAUCAGCCAUAGAGAAAAAUAUUAUCUCCUGUGCACUCACAGCAAGUUCUCUGGUCACUAGAGACCAAUAAACUGUGUCCCUAAAACUAUUAUCAGUUUGUCGGAAGAAGCUGCUAUGUGAACAAAAAACAUCCUUCAUUAAUUUCCCUUUUCGUAUUUAAAAAACCUUGUCAGCAUUUUCCCUUUGGGGAUCUAUAAUUUGUCAAUAGUGCAUAUUAUUUUAGUUCUAAGGAGGAGAGAUGUAGGGCAGUAUGUCCUUAUUAAGAUCUCUCAUUCAUCGAUCUUCAUGCCAAAUAAAGUAAAAUGCUUCACAUCUUUACUUUAUUAUAGCAUAUGUUUUUUUUUCAUUUCAUAGAAAUAUAAAUAAUUAGAUGUGUAAACCACUUUUGAGACUAAUUUGAAUUCUACAUCCUCCACCUCACCCUAGUCCAUUUAACUGAUGGAGGAAGGCUGAGAAGAAGGGUGGUCAAACUGAGUCUAGUGAUCUCUUCCAUUGUAUCCUGCAGUGUAUAUCUGUUUUCUCUCCAUAACUGUUAUGUAAGCUUCGGAAAGCAGGGAUGAUCCUUGUGUGUGCCAGUUAAAACUGCCUGGCAAAUGCUUGUUAACUAACAUCAGCCAUUGUGUCACAGUUAUAAGAGCCCACAUGUUAGACCUCCGUUUCAUUAUCUGUUCUUUUAUAUUCAACCUCCUGUGUAGAUGUAGAAAAAGUUAAAAUAUGCCAAGUAGUAUAUGAUAGAAAGGAAUCUGAUUAAGCUUGCCUACCAUUGUUUCUUAACAUCCACAUUGAAGUUGGAAAAUGUUUUAAGGAGAAAUCUCAUGGACCUAAAGUUAUUUAUGAAUGGUUUCAAUUGUCUCAUAUAUAUAGUGAUUAGAUUCCAGUGACACAUUAUUAUUUUUUAAAUUGUGUAUUAUUUCCAGCCAUGGGAAAGGGAAGGAUGGUAGAGUUCAUGUUUAGAAUAAAAGAGUAAACAUCACAAGUCAGUCCGACCUCAGCUGUCAUUUUAUUCAUUGUGGAUUUUUGUGCCAUGGAAGAAAUUUGUUCAGGAAUUAUUUGCUCUGCUGUUAGUUUGUAUGCAUAGUAACAUGCUAAAUACUCACUAUA